CGUUGUGUUUGCAAAAGGGGAUUGAAAAACUCAGCUCAGCUCUCAGUGCUGAGGAUCGAACGCUGGCGUGAUCAUCGAUCUCCGCCGGGCCGCUUCGGAAUCUGGGAAUUAAAAGGUAACAAAGUAUAAAACUCCCACACAUACAAAAAGUAUAUGAACAUGCACGUUGCUUGGUGUUUACGAGCCUUUCCGCUGCACUAUGGGAGGAUCCCAUUGAAGAUGCAGAGCUCAGUCUCUCCUCACAUCUGCUCUAUUUUUCACUCACGUCAUCUGUUGGGCCUCUCCUCUUUCCCCAAACCCUGUUGACUCUCUCCCUUCUCUCACCCUCUUGGAUUUCUCACUUUCCUUCAUCCAGCCCCCCCCUCCUCACCACUUGCUAAGAGGUCAGACGUGAAAAUGUGAAAUGCAUCCACACGCCGCCCCGGUGCUGCGGUUACCACGGCAGCCUUUAACCGUCCGACCACGUCAGCUGGAGGAGGCCUACUUCCUCUCCGGCCUGAGACCACAGAGUGAGAACGCCGUCUCAGCCGUGCACCGAGCUGAGACACCGCCACCGCCACGUUUCCCUCAGAAGGGGCUGAAGCUUUCAGUGAGGAAUAGAUUGUCUGCAAUCACAAUAACUAACAGGCCCAUCGUAACAUUUGACCUUUAAGAGGGGGGUGGAUUUUCAUAAGACAGAGAAGGACAGAGAGACACGGAGGAGGCACCAGGCAGUGAGUAACCAUCGGGUUUCAUUUAAUGACAUCUGCAUGCGAGUAAAGCUCCAUAAGAAACGAAAGUGAGCACAACACCGACCCCUGAACAGCCCUUCAGUUCAAGAUAAGUCAUCUUUAUUGCGUCCUACUAGACAUCCUAUAGCUCACCCCGUCCUCUUUGAAACCAACCUCUCUAGCAUUGCUUUUGAAUGCUGUGAAAUGACUUUUUGUCCACGUUCAUAUUCUUUGGAAAAAAGCUCUGACAGGAAUCACAGCAGCUGCAAUGCAGCCCCACAUGUUACAGACUGAAGAAUCCCCCCUCCGGCCCACAACACGCGCUGUGACGUCAGAAAGCUCUUUGUAUGCCUGUGCAGGGCUCGCUUCCCGCCCCCGCCAGGCUUACGAGGCGGAGGAGGGGAGGAGGGGAGGAGGGAUGGAGGGACAAAGAGAGGAGGACGGAGGUGGGCUUUGAGCUGUGAUGUAAUGUCAUGGAAACGGUGAUGUGCGGUGACGCCGUAUAUCCCACAGGAGCAUCGAGCCGCGCGGCCUCCUGCUGGCCGAGGAAAGGCCCCCGUGCACGGAGCCCACACACAGGGGGGGGACCCGGCGGGGUUUCGACGGCGCGCGUUUAACUGCAGGGCCGCGGCGAUGCGCGAGCAGGGAGUCAGCCGGCAAAGGUCAAAGGCCGUGUGUCACACACACAAUGAGAGGGGCAAGGGGGGCGGGGGGUGGGAGUUGGAAACACGAGUCACUGCGAGUCACUGCGAGCACACGAGGGGGCCUUCGGCACGCAGCCGAAAAAAAUAAAUAAUUGUAGAAGCAGCAGGACGCAAGGUCGGCCGUGGUCGGACGGAGAAACUCGCCCACGCAAACAAACAAUACUCAUUAUCUGCUGGUUAAAAGUGUACAUGACAGUAAAGUGCUUUUGUGUAGCCGUCUUAAAUCAGUGAUGAUCGAGAUGAGUGUUUUUCUUGUGCGUGUAAACCGUUUUUUCACGAUUCUUUGGCUGCGGUGCGACCAAAAAAAGAGUCAGAAACAGAGCUGUAAACAGAGAGAUGGAAUAGAGCACAUGCUAAUAAAACUUGGUCUUCAGAGGAGACUCUGUCAUCGCACAAAGGCAUCGAAAUCCUAUUUCAAUGUGUGAAUGUAUUUUGGAAAAUAGACCUCCAGCACCACCUGGUGGUUGAUAUGAUAUGAGUUAAUUAUGAGAAUUGAAUUGUUCCUCUGGUCAAUAAGCUUGGAUAUACUCUCAUCUGUGUUUGUCAUCAGACCAUCUCAAUAGAUGCUGUACUAGAUUGUAGUGACUGAGCACAUGAGACUCAUAUAUGAUCAUGCAUGACACAUGCAUGUAGCUACAUAGGACAUGGUGAAGAAAGCAUACUUCUCUGGAAUAAUGAUAACAUGUCAUGAUUGUACUGCAGGAGAAGGAUUUUGUCACUUAAAAUUCCCUGAAAUCUUUGCUUUGAAUCGUUCUGGAUAAAGAAGCCAACAACCAAGGUUGCAAAAAGAAAUGAUCACAGAAUCGUGUCCAUGAAAUUGAGUUUAAUAGAUUGUUAAAAAUAAGGCUAUGAUGCUGUUUUAACAAACAUUGAUCAGGAGGAAACACGUCCAGAGAAGCCCGGUGCAACGGGUGAAUGGGACCAGUCUCUGAAGUACCGCAGAUGAACACACACACACACACACACACACACACACACAGAUGCACACACGGACAAAUGUGUCUUGCGUUCAAACUCCUACACAUGUACUGUACACACAACCACACAUUAGACUCACACCCCACCCAAAACGGUGGCAUUAAUCUGAUGGAAACAGAGGAGUCGUCUUUGUAAACAAACAAACAUGCAUAGCUUAGUACAUUAGUGUGUUGUUCUAAAACCAUCAAGUUAUUGUUUGCACACCUUGAUUUCAUGGUUUAUCAAAAAUGUUCAACAUAAUUACAUUUAUUCUUUUCAUUUGACCAUCAUUAACAAUCACGUAAACUCAUUGGACUAUUUUGUUUACAAUAACCUGCCAAUUUAUUUUGCUCAUGUAGAAAGUUACAUUCUGAACCCAUUAGGCUCAUUAACAAAGGAAAUAAAUACUGGAACGGUAAAAGAAAAAUUAAAGUUAACAUUUUGAAAUGGAUUGAAGGCCCAACUUUUCAGAUAUAAAAACUAAUUAAGACACCUGCUUAGUGAGGGUGUCCUUCUAUCUAAUGCAGUAUUCAUCAAAUGACUUAAUAAAACCGUCCCACGGGAAUUCAAAACACAAGUAACGUCCAAAACAAGCAAAAGAUACUUAAAAAUGUAUUUGCAACAACAAAAGAAGGAACGAUGGAGCAAUCCGGACAGACUCCCUUAGUGCAUGACCACAAGAAUGUUAUUUUUAGUCUUUUUCCCUUAUUCAAGUUCAUUUCCACAAAGGGCGACGCCCUAAAAAUACACACGUUUCCCCUCAAAUGCUCACGAGACGUUUGUGAGAUUGAAAAAGAAAAACGGUGCUUCUGCUUUCGUCCUUUGGUUCCCGGGGCGACACACAGAUAGCUACAGAUAUUUGUACGUUUUGUUCCGUUCCUCCGGUUGUCAACACACAGUUUUGUAGUGUACAUCAGCAUAAGCGUUCCCGACCUCAAGCGACUAACAUCGAACAUUUUAAAGUGCCAAAGAGCUGAAGCACGCAGGAAGCACCAGGCUGGCGGCACAGAUUUUCGGUGACGGGUUGGAAACGUCCGAGUUGACACACACACGCACACACACACACACAUGCGCACACACACACACACACUUGGACGAGGAUGCAGGCUAACGCUAACCUACUCAGUAGCAGGACCCAAACUGCUUAGACCUUUACUCGUGUCCUAAAACAUAAACCUGUGUCAUUCACUAUUAAUGCAACUUCUGUUUUAUCCUUCGUUUGCUGAGUAAAUGCACAUGUAAUCAACGACUGGUACGCGCAUGCAACGUUUCUAAUAAUUAGACCGUACGGUGGAGUAAUUUGUCUCUGUUGACACAUUUAAUGAGUUUGAAUUGAACUUGGAGGGAACCUAUUUUGAGCUCAGCGCUAAUGGCUAAAAUAAGAAAGUUGAAUGUGGUGAAUGAAUACUGACACCUGAUGUUCACACACACCAACACACGCGUGGUUUACAAAUGGAAAAGUCGCACAUGUCUUGUAUAAAAUAUACUUCAAUAAAUGCAAAAUUGCAAAAGCUCUUUUCCUUUUUAUCUUUCGUGUCCUUUUAACAUGUUUGAGGCCGACUUCCAUACGUUACCUGAUCAAACUACUUCUUCCAGUGAGCACCGCUCUCCUACAUGCAACCCGGCAGAAUACGCUUGGACGUAUUCUUAAGGUUAACAUAAACUUACCUAAUUACCUAAUUCAAAUUCAUAAAGAACAAACUGUACAAAACAUAGACUAAAAAUAAGUGUUUUUUUUCCUUUUACAAAAUAGCCAACUACUCAGGCAUUAAGAACAAUCAAUAAUACCAAAUUAAAAACUUUGAGGAGGACAUGCGGGGGUUUGGCGGGCGGCCCUGGCGUUGACACAA
ensembl:lncRNA